rnacentral:rRNA from 1 species
GACGAACGCUGGCGGCGUGCUUAACACAUGCAAGUCGAACGGAAAGGCCCCUUUGGGGGUACUCGAGUGGCGAACGGGUGAGUAACACGUGAGUAACCUGCCCUUGACUUCGGGAUAACUUCAGGAAACUGGGGCUAAUACCGGAUAGGAAUCCUUGCUGCAUGGUGGGGGUUGGAAAGCUUCGGCGGUUUUGGAUGGACUCGCGGCUUAUCAGCUUGUUGGUGGGGUAGUGGCUUACCAAGGCUUUGACGGGUAGCCGGCCUGAGAGGGCGACCGGCCACAUUGGGACUGAGAUACGGCCCAGACUCCUACGGGAGGCAGCAGUGGGGAAUAUUGCACAAUGGGCGGAAGCCUGAUGCAGCAACGCCGCGUGCGGGAUGACGGCCUUCGGGUCGUAAACCGCUUUCAGCAGGGGCGAAGCUUGUGGUGACGGUACCUGCAGAAGAAGCACCGGCUAACGACGUGC